UCAAUCUUAUCAUGCAACAGGCUACCUCCCACGUAGUCAAAGUCAAAAACUUCUUUUUCCGACCUGGGUGGAUUUUCUGCGUUUUUUUCAAGAUCCCCCAAGCGGACCAGUGUGCUUGAUGAGGUAGUGGCCCAUAGACUACCAACAGCCAGCACUGUGAGAUGGAACUUUCACAGCCGUGCCGUCAAUACUGUGUUUGAGCAAAGAGAACACCUCGUUGAAUGCUUUGAAAGAAUUCGAGCAUCAGGUGGCUUUGAUGACAAGACCAGCCAAGAAGCAGGAGGCUACAUCAGGCUACUGGAGGAUCCUCAGUUCAACUUCUUCCUGCAACUGUUUCAUAAAAUAAUGCCACACGUGGACGUCCUCUAUGCCAAGCUCCAGAAGAGAGACAUAGAUUCAGUCCAUAUAGAAAGAUGCAUCCAGCAGUUCCGAGAGGACAUACAAAAAAAUCAGAGAUUCUCUCCAUGCAAUGGUGGUGGAGCAAAGCAGUGGCUCUCAGCAGCCGAGGAAGCGCCGGGCUGUGUCGGAAGAUGAGCUUAGAAGGAUUGCUGCUGAGGUAUGUGACACCAUACUUGGACACACCAAGGAACGCUUUGCCUUCAAAGACCACCUCAUCAGUGCCACCUUACUGCAGGGCAACCAGUUUGAAUGCUACCUCAAGGUAUUCCCUGAAGUUGCUUUGGCCACCACAUUGAAGGCCUAUCCAAUUCUGGAUGGAGGCAAGCUGAAGACAGAGCUUGGCCUCAUCUAUGGCACAGACGAAUUCAGAUCCUGCCGUAGUGCUGUGGAUCUUUUCCAGUUGUUCAUGGAAAACAAUCUAUCUGAGGUAUUUUCAGAGACAGUUACACUGCUGAAAAUCAUGAUCACAACUCCCAUGACCACUGCUGAGGCUGAGAGGUGUUUUUCAACUCUGAAAAGGAUUAAAACCUUCCUCAGGAACACCAUGAGUCAGGAGAGACUGAAUGCCUUAGCCAUGCUCUCAAUGGAAAAAAGGCUGGUCACAGACAUGAUUGACUUUAACCAGAGAGUUAUUGAGGAAUUUGCCAGCUUGAAAGAGAGGAGGGCUAAAUUUC